GCCUCGACGGUGUUGUGAUAGCAUGUUUUCUUGGUAUGGAUGAACCACGGGUUAAAUUCCCGUUUGAGGUU